AUUGUCCAUGUCACAAUGCUCAGAGUGUUGUAAGAAGACAAUACUCUAAUCACGAUUCCCAAAGUUGUCAUGGCUCAUGACCCUAUUCUUACACAUACUUUCAUUCUGAUGACAGCAUUACAUGGAGAGCUGAAUUCCGCUCCGGCCUUGAGGACAGAGUCACCAACAGAUAUCAAAACCCAUGGCAUUCACCGCCCCACUUUCUAGAUAAGCAAUCUGUCGAGGUCCGCAGCAAAUUCGUUUGGGCGCACAACAAGUAUGACAAUUACAGCCAAGACAACAACAAAUAUGUUCUUCUCAACAGUAAGUCAUUAACUCUAGGAAUGUGAAAUUUCCUCCCUUACCAAAGAAUGUAGGACACAUUUCAUAGCCGGAUAUAUGCUAUACAGUGCAUUCG